rnacentral:rRNA from 1 species
GUGCCUAAUACAUGCAAGUCGAGCGAACAGAUGAGAAGCUUGCUUCUCUGAUGUUAGCGGCGGACGGGUGAGUAACACGUGGGUAACCUACCUAUAAGACUGGGAUAACUCCGGGAAACCGGGGCUAAUACCGGAUAAUAUUUUGAACCGCAUGGUUCAAUAGUGAAAGACGGUUUCGGCUGUCACUUAUAGAUGGACCCACGCCGUAUUAGCUAGUUGGUAAGGUAAUGGCUACCAAGGCGACGAUACGUAGCCGACCUGAGAGGGUGAUCGGCCACACUGGAACUGAGACACGGUCCAGACUCCUACGGGAGGCAGCAGUAGGGAAUCUUCCGCAAUGGGCGAAAGCCUGACGGAGCAACGCCGCGUGAGUGAUGAAGGUCUUCGGAUCGUAAAACUCUGUUGUUAGGGAAGAACAAAUUUGUUAGUAACUGAACAAGUCUUGACGGUACCUAACCAGAAAGCCACGGCUAACUACGUGCCAGCAGCCGCGGUAAUACGUAGGUGGCAAGCGUUAUCCGGAAUUAUUGGGCGUAAAGCGCGCGUAGGCGGUUUCUUAAGUCUGAUGUGAAAGCCCACGGCUCAACCGUGGAGGGUCAUUGGAAACUGGGAAACUUGAGUGCAGAAGAGGAGAGUGGAAUUCCAUGUGUAGCGGUGAAAUGCGCAGAGAUAUGGAGGAACACCAGUGGCGAAGGCGGCUCUCUGGUCUGUAACUGACGCUGAUGUGCGAAAGCGUGGGGAUCAAACAGGAUUAGAUACCCUGGUAGUCCACGCCGUAAACGAUGAGUGCUAAGUGUUAGGGGGUCUCCGCCCCUUAGUGCUGCAGCUAACGCAUUAAGCACUCCGCCUGGGGAGUACGACCGCAAGGUUGAAACUCAAAUGAAUUGACGG